rnacentral:rRNA from 1 species
UACGUAGGGUGCGAGCGUUAAUCGGAAUUACUGGGCGUAAAGCGUGCGCAGGCGGCUUUGCAAGACAGAUGUGAAAUCCCCGGGCUCAACCUGGGAACUGCAUUUGUGACUGCAUGGCUAGAGUGCGGCAGAGGGGGAUGGAAUUCCGCGUGUAGCAGUGAAAUGCGUAGAUAUGCGGAGGAACACCGAUGGCGAAGGCAAUCCCCUGGGCCUGCACUGACGCUCAUGCACGAAAGCGUGGGGAGCAAACAGG